GACGAACGCUGGCGGCGUGCUUAACACAUGCAAGUCGAACGGAAAGGCCCUGCUUUUGUGGGGUGCUCGAGUGGCGAACGGGUGUGUAACACGUGAGUAACCUGCCCUUGACUUUGGGAUAACUUCAGGAAACUGGGGCUAAUACCGGAUAGGAGCUCCUGCUGCAUGGUGGGGGUUGGAAAGUUUCGGCGGUUGGGGAUGUACUCGCGGCUUAUCAGCUUGUUGGUGGGGUAGUGGCUUACCAAGGCUUUGACGGGUAGCCGGCCUGAGAGGGUGACCAGCCACAUUGGGACUGAGAUACGGCCCAGACUCCUACGGGAGGCAGUAGUGGAGAAUAUGGCACAAUGGGCGGAAGCCUGAUGCAGCAACGCCGCGUGCGGGAUGACGGCCUUCGGGUUGUAAACCGCUUUCGCCUGUGACGAAGCGUGAGUGACGGUAAUGGGUAAAGAAGCACCGGCUAACUACGUG
rnacentral:rRNA from 1 species